AAUGAACGCUGGCGGCGUGCCUAACACAUGCAAGUCGAACGAACGGACCGGAAGCUUUUGCCCCUGAGGUUGGCGGGCGACGGAAGAGUAACACAUGGAUAGCAUACCUCUACGACAGGGGUAAUAACGUGGGACAGGAUCUACUAACGGAUAAUAUUUUGAACCGGAUGGAGCAAGGGUUAAAGACGGUCUUGGUGUCAGUAAAAGCUGAUUCCGGGCUUGAUCAGCUGGUGGGUAAGGAAACGGCCUACCAAGGCUACGAUGCAUAGACGGCCGGAGAGGGUGAUUGGCCACACUGGAACUGAGACACGGUCCAGACUCCUACGGGAGGACGCAGUCGCGACUCUUCCGCAAUGGGCGAAAGCCUGAUGUAGCAACGCCGCGUGAGUGAUGAAGGACUUCGGCUGGUAAAGCUCUGUUGUUAGGAAAGAACAUAAGCUUAUGUAACCGUGCUGAUAUUGACGGUACCGAAAGAAUAAGCCCCGGCUAACUCCGUG
rnacentral:rRNA from 1 species